UUUUCGCAAUGCCCGAAAGGGUGACGAAGCGACGCCGCGUGGGUGAGGAAGGCCCUCGGGUUGUAAAGCCCUGUCAGGAGUUAAGAAAUGUAGGUACGCUAAUAUCGUAUCUAUUUGACAAAGGCUCCAAAGGAAGCCACGGCUAACUCUGUGCCAGCAGCCGCGGUAAUACAGAGGUGGCAAGCGUUGUUCGGAAUUAUUGGGCGUAAAGAGCACGUAGGUGGAUUUGUAAGUCAGAUGUGAAAGCCUUCUGUUCAACGGGAGAAUUGCAUCUGAAACUACAAACCUUGAGUAUAGGAGGGGAGAAUGGAACUUCUGGUGGAGCGGUGAAAUGCGUAGAUAUCAGAAGGAACGCCGGCGGCGAAAGCGAUUCUCUGGCCUAUUACUGACACUCAGUGUGCGAAAGCUAGGGGAGCAAACGGGAUUAGAUACCCCGGUAGUCCUAGCCGUAAACGAUGGGCACUAAGUAGAGGGGUUUUA
rnacentral:rRNA from 1 species